rnacentral:rRNA from 1 species
CCUACGGGGGGCAGCAGUGGGGAAUAUUGGACAAUGGGCGAAAGCCUGAUCCAGCCAUGCCGCGUGUGUGAAGAAGGCCUUCGGGUUGUAAAGCACUUUCAGUGGGGAAGAAAGCCUUGGGGCUAAUACCCUCGAGGAAGGACAUCACCCACAGAAGAAGCACCGGCUAACUCCGUGCCAGCAGCCGCGGUAAUACGGAGGGUGCGAGCGUUAAUCGGAAUUACUGGGCGUAAAGCGCGCGUAGGCGGUCUGAUAAGCCGGUUGUGAAAGCCCCGGGCUCAACCUGGGAACGGCAUCCGGAACUGUCAGGCUAGAGUGCAGGAGAGGAAGGUAGAAUUCCCGGUGUAGCGGUGAAAUGCGUAGAGAUCGGGAGGAAUACCAGUGGCGAAGGCGGCUUUCUGGACUGACACUGACGCUGAGGUGCGAAAGCGUGGGUAGCAAACAGGAUUACAUACCCCUGUAGUC